UACGGAGGGAGCUAGCGUUAUUCGGAAUUACUGGGCGUAAAGCGCACGUAGGCGGCUUUGUAAGUAAGAGGUGAAAGCCCAGAGCUCAACUCUGGAAUUGCCUUUUAGACUGCAUCGCUUGAAUCAUGGAGAGGUCAGUGGAAUUCCGAGUGUAGAGGUGAAAUUCGUAGAUAUUCGGGAAGAAACACCAGUGGCGAAGGCGGACUUACUGGACACAUAUUGACGCUGAGG
rnacentral:rRNA from 1 species